CCUACGGGAGGCAGCAGUGGGGAAUAUUGCACAAUGGGCGAAAGCCUGAUGCAGCAACGCCGCGUGAGCGAUGAAGGCCUUCGGGUCGGAAAGCCCUGUCCUCAAGGAAGAUAAUGACGGUACUUGUGGAGGAAGCCACGGCAAACUACGUGCCAGCAUCCGCGGUAAUACGUAGGGGGCUAGCGUUAUCCGGAAUUACUGGGCGUAAAGGGUGCGUAGGUGGGUUCUUAAGUCAGAGGUGAAAGGGUACGGCUCAACCGUAGUAAGCCUUUGAAACUGGGAAACUUGAGUGCAGGAGAGGAGAGUGGAAUUCCUAGUGUAGCGGUGAAAUGCGUAGAUAUUAGGAGGAACACCAGUUGCGAAGGCGGCUCUCUGGACUGUAACUGACACUGAGGCACGAAAGCGUGGGUAUCGAACAGGAUUAGAUACCCUAGUAGUC
rnacentral:rRNA from 1 species